rnacentral:tmRNA from 1 species
GGGGAUGCCAGGCAUCGACAGUUUGUUCUCUCAAAAUACGCAAGUCGAGCAUGAUAUUGGCCUCGUAAAUCCUUGUAUCAAGAUCAUAAGUGCAAACUUAUUUUCAAAAGCGCAGCGGACAUUUGCUAACGCAUUUCAACCUGCUUACGCUUCUGCUAUUGCCUAAUUCGCGAUAGCCAUCGAAUUGCCAACGCCUACUAGGCAAAUCUCGGUGUCAUAUAGCAGGCUCUGCGAAUUAUUUUUUCUCGAGAUAACUUGCGAGAUUAAAUCGGGAACGACUUAUUAAGGUUUUGCCGGCUUUAUACUUAAUGAGUUAGUCAAAACAAUCCGGCUAAACUUGUAGAAUAUUUUUUGAAAAACAAAUUUGGACGGGAGUUCGAUUCUCCCCAUCUCCACUC